CUCCAGAUGUUUUGGGACUACAACUCCCAUCAUCCCUGACCACUGGUCCUGUUAGCUAGGGAUGAUGGGAGUUGUAGUCCCAAAACAUCUGGAG